AUUGAACGCUGGCGGCAGGCCUAACACAUGCAAGUCAAACGGUAACAGGAAGCAGCUUGCUGCUUUGCUGACGAGUGGCGGACGGGUGAGUAAUGUCUGGGAAACUGCCUGAUGGAGGGGGAUAACUACUGGAAACGGUAGCUAAUACCGCAUAACGUCGCAAGACCAAAGAGGGGGACCUUCGGGCCUCUUGCCAUCGGAUGUGCCCAGAUGGGAUUAGCUAGUAGGUGGGGUAACGGCUCACCUAGGCGACGAUCCCUAGCUGGUCUGAGAGGAUGACCAGCCACACUGGAACUGAGACACGGUCCAGACUCCUACGGGAGGCAGCAGUGGGGAAUAUUGCACAAUGGGCGCAAGCCUGAUGCAGCCAUGCCGCGUGUAUGAAGAAGGCCUUCGGGUUGUAAAGUACUUUCAGCGGGGAGGAAGGGAGUAAAGUUAAUACCUUUGCUCAUUGACGUUACCCGCAGAAGAAGCACCGGCUAACUCCGUG
rnacentral:rRNA from 1 species